rnacentral:rRNA from 1 species
GUCUACGGCCACACCACCCUGAACGCGCCCGAUCUCGUCUGAUCUCGGAAGCUAAGCAGGGUCGGGCCUGGUUAGUACUUGGAUGGGAGACAAAACAUCAUAUGAUAGGGAGUGAUAGGAA